rnacentral:rRNA from 1 species
GAUGAACGCUGGCGGUAUGCUUAACACAUGCAAGUCGAACGGUCACUUCGGUGUUAGUGGCGGACGGGUGAGUAACGCGUGAGAAUCUGUCUUCAGGUCGGGGACAACAGUUAGAAAUGACUGCUAAUACCGGAUGUGCCUUUGGGUGAAAGAUUUAUUGCCUGAAAAAGAGCUCGCGUCAGAUUAGCUAGGAGGUGGUGUAAGAGACUACCUAGGCGCCGAUCUGUAGCUGGUCUGAGAGGAGGAGCAGCCACACAGGAGCUGAGGCACGGUCGAGACGGGGACGAGAGGCAGCAGGGGGGAAUUUUCCGGCAGGGACGCAGGCCUGGCGAUGCAGGCCCGCGGGUGGGAGGAUGCCUUUUGGCGCGAGAACCCCUCUUCGCAGGAAGGGUGGUGACGGUAGUGGGAGAAGAAGCACCGGCUAACUACGUG